rnacentral:rRNA from 1 species
UACGAAGGGGGCUAGCGUUGCUCGGAAUCACUGGGCGUAAAGGGUGCGUAGGCGGGUCUUUAAGUCAGGGGUGAAAUCCUGGAGCUCAACUCCAGAACUGCCUUUGAUACUGAGGAUCUUGAGUACGGGAGAGGUGAGUGGAACUGCGAGUGUAGAGGUGAAAUUCGUAGAUAUUCGCAAGAACACCAGUGGCGAAGGCGGCUCACUGGCCCGUAACUGACGCUGGGGCACGAAAGCGUGGGGAGCAAACAGG